ACGCUGGCGGCGUGCCUAAUACAUGCAAGUCGAACGCUUUUUCUUUCACCGGAGCUUGCUCCACCGAAAGAAAAAGAGUGGCGAACGGGUGAGUAACACGUGGGUAACCUGCCCAUCAGAAGGGGAUAACACUUGGAAACAGGUGCUAAUACCGUAUAACACUAUUUUCCGCAUGGAAGAAAGUUGAAAGGCGCUUUUGCGUCACUGAUGGAUGGACCCGCGGUGCAUUAGCUAGUUGGUGAGGUAACGGCUCACCAAGGCAACGAUGCAUAGCCGACCUGAGAGGGUGAUCGGCCACACUGGGACUGAGACACGGCCCAGACUCCUACGGGAGGCAGCAGUAGGGAAUCUUCGGCAAUGGACGAAAGUCUGACCGAGCAACGCCGCGUGAGUGAAGAAGGUUUUCGGAUCGUAAAACUCUGUUGUUAGAGAAGAACAAGGAUGAGAGUAAAAUGUUCAUCCCUUGACGGUAUCUAACCAGAAAGCCACGGCUAACUACGUGCCAGCAGCCGCGGUAAUACGUAGGUGGCAAGCGUUGUCCGGAUUUAUUGGGCGUAAAGCGAGCGCAGGCGGUUUCUUAAGUCUGAUGUGAAAGCCCCCGGCUCAACCGGGGAGGGUCAUUGGAAACUGGGAGACUUGAGUGCAGAAGAGGAGAGUGGAAUUCCAUGUGUAGCGGUGAAAUGCGUAGAUAUAUGGAGGAACACCAGUGGCGAAGGCGGCUCUCUGGUCUGUAACUGACGCUGAGGCUCGAAAGCGUGGGGAGCGAACAGGAUUAGAUACCCUGGUAGUCCACGCCGUAAACGAUGAGUGCUAAGUGUUGGAGGGUUUCCGCCCUUCAGUGCUGCAGCAAACGCAUAAGCACUCCGC
rnacentral:rRNA from 1 species